rnacentral:rRNA from 1 species
CAACUUUCAACAACGGAUCUCUUGGCUCUCGCAUCGAUGAAGAACGCAGCGAAAUGCGAUAAGUAAUGUGAAUUGCAGAAUUCAGUGAAUCAUCGAAUCUUUGAACGCACCUUGCGCCCCUUGGUAUYCCGAGGGGCAUGCCUGUUUGAGUGUC